rnacentral:misc_RNA from 1 species
AAGUCGUAACAAGGUUUCCGUAGGUGAACCUGCGGAAGGAUCAUUAUUGAAUAAUCUUGAUGGAUUGUUGCUGGCUCUUCGAAAGAGCAUGUGCACGUCUGUCAUUUUUAUCUUUCCACCAUGUACACUAUGCAUAGGCCUUGGACGUUUCUUUGAUCAAGCAUUGCUUUGAUUUUUGGAGAUUGCUGUUUGUAUUGACAGCUCUUUCUGUGUUCAAGUUCUAUGAAUUUUAUAUAUACUCCAACGUAUGUUAAAGAACGUUACAAAGGGCCCUUAAAAGCCUAUAAAUUUAUAAUACAACUUUCAGCAACGGAUCUCUUGGCUCUC